rnacentral:rRNA from 1 species
UACGGAGGGUGCGAGCGUUGUCCGGAAUCAUUGGGCGUAAAGGGCUCGUAGGCGGCCAACUAAGUCCGACGUGAAAUCCCAAGGCUUAACCUUGGAACUGCGUCGGAUACUGGAUGGCUUGAAUUCGGGAGAGGGAUGCAGAAUUCCAGGUGUAGCGGUGAAAUGCGUAGAUAUCUGGAGGAAUACCGGUGGCGAAGGCGGCAUCCUGGACCGACAUUGACGCUGAGGAGCGAAAGCUAGGGGAGCAAACGGGG